rnacentral:rRNA from 1 species
UGGGGAAUAUUGCGCAAUGGGGGAAACCCUGACGCAGCGACGCCGCGUGCGGGAUGAAGGCCUUCGGGUUGUAAACCGCUUUUGAUUGGGAGCAAGCUUUCGGGUGAGUGUACUUUUCGAAUAAGCGCCGGCUAACUACGUGCCAGCAGCCGCGGCAAUACGUAGGGCGCAAGCGUUAUCCGGAAUUAUUGGGCGUAAAGAGCUUGUAGGCGGUUCGUCGCGUCUGGUGUGAAAGCCCAUCGCUUAACGGUGGGUUUGCGCCGGUUACGGGCGGGUUAGAGUGCAGUAGGGGAGACUGGAAUUCUCGGUGUAACGGUGGAAUGUGUAGAUAUCGGGAAGAACACCAAUGGCGAAGGCAGGUCUCUGGGCUGUUACUGACGCUGAGAAGCGAAAGCGUGGGGAGCGAACAGG